rnacentral:rRNA from 1 species
GAUGAACGCUGGCGGCGUGCUUAACACAUGCAAGUCGAACGAAGCACUUAAGAUUGAUUCUUCGGAUGACGUCUUUUGUGACUUAGUGGCGGACGGGUGAGUAACGCGUGGGUAACCUGCCUCACACAGGGGGAUAACAGUUAGAAAUGACUGCUAAUACCGCAUAACCCGAUAGGAUCGCAUGAUCCAGACGGAAAAGAUUUAUCGGUGUGAGAUGGACCCGCGUCUGAUUAGCUAGUUGGUGAGGUAACGGCCCACCAAGGCGACGAUCAGUAGCCGGCCUGAGAGGGUGAACGGCCACAUUGGGACUGAGACACGGCCCAAACUCCUACGGGAGGCAGCAGUGGGGAAUAUUGCACAAUGGGGGAAACCCUGAUGCAGCGACGCCGCGUGAGUGAAGAAGUAUUUCGGUAUGUAAAGCUCUAUCAGCAGGGAAGAAAGUGACGGUACCUGACUAAGAAGCCCCGGCUAACUACGUG